AUACUCUGGUUUCUCUUCAGAUUAUAUUAAUUUUCACCUUUUACUAAAAUUUCUGAGGAGAGGAACAACUCAAAGUCUUUAACCAAUUUUUUGAGGCCUUGCAUUUGCAGGGUU
ensembl:snRNA U5 U5 spliceosomal RNA